CCCUUAGAUGUCCGGGGCUGCACGCGCGCUACACUGAAGGAAUCAGCGUGCUAAAACCAUUGUCGAAAGGCAUUGGUAAACCCAUUAAAAUCCUACGUGAUUGGGAUCGGGAAUUGCAAUUAUUUCCCUUGAACGAGGAAUUCCCAGUAAGUGUGGGUCAUAAGCUCGCGUUGAUUACGUCCCUGCCCUUUGUACACACCGCCCGUCGCUGCCCGGGACUGAGCCGUUUCGAGAAAAGCGGGGACUGCUGCUGUCGGGGCCUUCGGGCCUUGGCUUCGGUGGAAACCGCUUUAAUCGCAGUGGCUUGAACCGGGCAAAANUCGUAACA
rnacentral:rRNA from 1 species